AGUGAACGCUGGCGGCGUGGCUAAGGCAUGCAAGUCGCACGGGUGUAGCAAUACACCAGUGGCGCAAGGGUGAGUAAUGGAUAGCUAACGUACCCGAAUCCCGGGCAUAGCCAGUCGAAAGAUUGGGUAAUUCCCGAUGUUGUCACGAUGGGACAUCCUGUUGUGAUCAAAGGUGAGGACCGCAAGGCUUAUCGGUUUCGGAGCGGGCUAUCUGCUAUCAGCUUGUUGGCGAGGUAACGGCUCACCAAGGCUAUGACGGCUAGCUGGUCU
rnacentral:rRNA from 1 species